rnacentral:rRNA from 1 species
AGUGAACGCUGGCGGCGUGCUUAACACAUGCAAGUCGAACGAGAACGGGUUAUAGCUUGCUAUAAUUGUCAGCUAAGUGGCGCACGGGUGAGUAAUGUAUAGGUAAUAUGCCUCUUACUAAGGGAUAACAAAUGGAAACGUUUGCUAAUACCUUAUACUCCUUAUUAACAGAAGUUAAUAAGGGAAAGAUUUAUUGGUAAGAGAUUAGCCUGUAUUGUAUCAGUUAGUUGGUGGGGUAAUGGCUUACCAAGACUAUGACACAUAACUGGUUUGAGAGGAUGAUCAGUAACACUGGGACUGAGACACGGUCCAGACUCCUACGGGAGGCAGCAGUGGGGAAUAUUGCACAAUGGACGAAAGUCUGAUGCAGCAACGCCGCGUGGAGGAUGACACAUUUCGGUGCGUAAACUCCUUUUAUAUGAGAAGGUAAUGACGGUAUUAUAUGAAUAAGCACCGGCUAACUCCGUGCCAGCCGCCGCCGUAA